rnacentral:rRNA from 1 species
AACGAACGCUGGCGGCAUGCCUAACACAUGCAAGUCGAACGAGACCUUCGGGUCUAGUGGCGCACGGGUGCGUAACGCGUGGGAACCUGCCCUUAGGUUCGGAAUAACUCCCCGAAAGGGGUGCUAAUACCGGAUAAUGUCUUCGGACCAAAGAUUUGUCGCCUUUGGAUGGGCCCGCGUUGGACUAGCUAGUUGGUAGGGUAAAAGCCUACCAAGGCGACGAUCCAUAGCUGGUCUGAGAGGAUGAUCAGCCACACUGGGACUGAGACACGGCCCAGACUCCUACGGGAGGCAGCAGUGGGGAAUAUUGGACAAUGGGCGAAAGCCUGAUCCAGCAAUGCCGCGUGAGUGAUGAAGGCCUUAGGGUUGUAAAGCUCUUUUACCCGGGAUGAUAAUGACAGUACCGGGAGAAUAAGCUCCGGCUAACUCCGUG